rnacentral:misc_RNA from 1 species
GAAGAACCAACAACUUUUUCCCUCACCCUAGCUGCUUUAUUAGAGUCAGAAGUUUGCUGUUUAUGCUCAUUAGAAGGCAGGGAUUUUACCCCACCUCUUGAAAUUUUCUUUCGCUUGUUGUCAACAUGAAGCAUUGCAUCACAAUUAUCCUUUGAAGAUCCAUGAAGUUUGAGAGCAUUAGAGUCACUAGUUUGACAAUGUCCCCCGGUCUCUGCAUUUUCGUCUGACUUCUGUAUGUUCUGCAUACUUAAGGAGGCCGCAGAAGAGCAUG